AUCACUUCUCGGCCUUUUGGCUAAGAUCAAGUGUAGGAGCAGCAACCUCAACAUCAUGUGGAAUUUGUUACUGGUGCAGACAGUCAGCCCUCAUCCCAGACCCAUGGAAUCAGAAACCCCGAGUGGGACCCAGCAGUUGGUUUUUUCACAAGCCCUGCAGGUGGCUGUGACCCAUGCUAAAGUAGAGAACCACUGCUUUAUACUGAGGAUUCCUA
rnacentral:snRNA from 1 species